rnacentral:lncRNA from 1 species
GAAAUACCAUUCCAAACAAGCAAGAUCUCAUAGUUUAUGCAUUUUAUAACCUAACACAAAAAGAAACACAAGGAAUACAUGAAAUGAAGCAAAAGCAAAGAAAUGAGGAAGAACAAGGAAGUUGCAGCAACAAGAUCCGUGAACAAAAGAAGAAAAGGGGAAACUGAUCAAGGAGAAUAAACCAAGUUAGAGCCAAUUCUAACCUUCCUUCGCUGCUUUGUGUAGUCAAAUCACUAUGAACAUCCAUGGAAUGAGCCAGAUCCACAAAAACCCAGGAUGCAUAAAAAACCAGAUUCAUAAAGCAUCAAAAACCCAGGAUGCAGAUUUCGGUGAAGAGCUGUGAAGACCCGAACAUUAGAUCCGAAUAUGAAGGCUAUAUUGGCAUUUUUUCCAAAAGUGUUCGGAACCAAAAUUGCUCUCCUAACACUAGAGAAAAUGCAAAAGUCAAAAAGUCCUUAAAAGAACUUGUAACAAAAGAGAAAAUCCUCCCCGAAUAUGGCUGAAUGAUCACCCUAUUUUAGCAAAUUCUCUGAAAAAAUUUCUUUCCACUUUUCUCUUUGUUUUUCUUUGUUCCAUUUCCUGAUUUCUCUCUUUUGUCCUCAAAUUAUCUCUCCUUUUCCUCUCUUUUCCUUUCUUCCUCCCCUUCUCCAUUCCUUUCUCUCUCUCUUCCUUGCCUAUCCCGAAACCCUCCUUUUCUUCCUCUUUCGUUCUUUCUUUUUCUUUUCUGAUCACUCCCGAAGCCUCUCUACCUCUACGCCAUCUCCCUCUCUUCCUUGCUCAGUUUUCCUGUUCCUCUCUAAGAAAACUUUCUCUUUCCCGCAGCCUUUUUCUUCCUCCUUUUCAACCUCAAAACCCUCUUUUUUUCCUCCCUUUUUCUUACCCAGCCGUAGCUUCUUUUUUCUUUUUCUCCCUCGGUUCUUUCUUUUUCUCCUGUUCUCUCUUGUUUGGCCUGAAGCUCUCUCCCAGAUUUUCCCUCUCGUUCCCUCUAUCUCUCUGUAGUUUGUUUUUUUUGUUCCCCUCUUGCCCGUAGCCUCUGCUUCUUGUUUUUUUCUUCUUGCUUAGCCGCAAUCUCCCCUUUCUUACUCUCUUUUCCAAGUUCUCCUCCUAUUUCCUUGCCAGCCCGAGGCUCCUCCCCUUGGUUUUUCUCUUUUUCUUUUUUUCUUUGUCCCAUAGCUCCUUUCUCUCAUUUCCUCCUCAUUUUUCUAGAUUUUUCUUGUGAUGGCCUCACCUCCCCCUAGGGCGUACCCCAGGGUUCAGCGGGUCGCCUGUCCAACUCUCGUCUGGACUCACUCACUUAUAAUUCAAGAAAAAUAAUGUACAUCCAUAGAAAAAAAAUAACACAUCCACUUCAACUUAAUAUAUACAUUAAUGCUCAAAUCUAGAUACAAAGCUUCUACACACCAAAAUACUUCAAAAUAUUUACAAUUCGAGUACAAUCAACCCUAGCGAGUGCUAGCGUGAGUACUAUUUCAAAACUUCAAAAUUAGACUACUCUGUACCAGUCUCACGUCUCGCUCGUACACCCUGUCAGGAAAACAAAUGGCGUGGAAUAAGCUAAAAGCCCAGUGAGGUUCCAAAUAGUAAAUUGACCAUUAUUUAAAGUCCAAGUAUCACGUAGCAAAGUAAUGAGCAUGAAAAGUUCAUAAAAGUAAGUAAUAACACUUCAAGUAGCAAAUCUCAAAGUGAGCGAGUAUAAAGUUUUUCUUUUAAAAUGAAACAAUAACACGAUAAAUACUAAUUAUUUCAAAGUAUAAGGAUACGGAUGGCUCUCAAGAGCCAAAUUCCUAUUGCAUCACCAGAGAUUGAUCAAAUAAUAGUUGACAUUCCAUCAACUUUCAAGUAAGUAACCAAUCCAGUAGAGCACCACUUAAACUACUCUCCGUCCACCAUCAAACCCCUUACAGGGCCCGAACUCCAAGAUAAACACUGGUGGUAAUACUCGAGUAUACCGAUUUAGUCGAGGAGAUAACACUCCACUCGACAACACUAACUACCCACGGUUCGUUAUCUAAUCGACCAAGUCCUUGCUGGCUCGACUCGAUUAACUAGCCAGUGGGGUUUGGGUCCCCAAGGAAUCGAUGAGAUAACACCUCCAAUCGAUUAAAUCAAAAUAAAAGUACGGAAACGGGAAUGAGAGGCACCUUCUACUCACAUUGGGUGUGGUACAUGUUGCCUCUCAGCAUUUACAAGUCAAGUACAAGUAUAUCAAGUCAAUUGCAACAAUAAACAAGUAUAUAUCAUAUUAGGGCACGUGCGAUAAAGUACACUCUUGCCCGAUCAAACAAAUUACAUAUCAUUAAAUCACAUUGGUCAAGUAUUGAAAACAAGUGUCUAAUUCAAUCAGAUAUUUGAAAGCACUCACCAAAAGAUGCGGUGCCUUUACGGGUUACGUUCGGAUAUUACUCCGUGUGUGGAGUUCAAAUCUGCGAUAAAACAUUGUUUAAGAGCUUUUGAAAGUAACUAAGAUUCGAAACUUAAACGUUUCAUUUAACGAGAAUCACAUAAUUGAAACUUAUUUGGAAAAUAUUUGUAAACCCAUACUCGCUCUUAAGACGGUGAAACUUUAAAGUGAUUAACCUUUGAAAUCUCCGUUUGAGUCGAAGUGACGAGAAAAAUAUAUUUCUAUUAGUCGUUACUUUCAUUUUUCAAGGGUACAAGUUUUGGCAGAAUUCUAACUUAUAUACCUCUAUGAAAGAAAACUUGAAUAUCCUAGGUGAUUCAAGGGAUAUUCGUUCCCGAAUUCGUACUCAAGUCGCGAGUACCUCUACCUAACUUUCGAGUGUAAAUUUGGGCAGCACGCCAUUUGUGUGUUUACCUAUUUUUCAGCCAUUUAUGACUUCAUUAUUUUUCUCAUUUCAGCCCCAAAACACACACAAGCAAUGUUACCAACAUAGCCCUUCAAUUAGACUCCACAAUCAUCCAUUUAUAACCUAAGUCUAAUAAAACAACCAAAAAUCAAUUUUGAGGACCAAAGCUAAACAACAGAUUCGACGUCUCUUAGUUUUUUGGUCACAACCGACGCUAUACUUAUCGGAUUGGGGUGAAUUUUAUACCGAUUCGAAACUAAGACAAAGGGUCAUAACUUUUAUGAAGACAACUAAAUCCAGUUCAUAGUUUAUCUAGGUUGAAACUACAAAUUACAGAACCAUAAUUUCAUCGUCAGGCUGGUUAACAGCACUGGAUUCAAAUGACAAUAACUCAGGCUACAAAAGUCCGAUUGAGGGGUUUUAAGUUGCGUUGGAAAGGUAAAACAUAAGACUACAACUUUUAUGUUUUGGACAAAUGCUAAUUUGAUACGAAUCAAAGUGAAAAAUGAGGCCAGAAUCGUGAAAUCCCAAAACUGUCCGUAAAACUAUACCUUUGGUAGUCAAGGGUAUUUUUGUCAUUUCAUGUGCUACAGUGAUCAGAUUGAGAUGAAAUUUCACAGUCAACUAUAAAAUACCAUUUCCUAUAACUUUCAUGUUUUAACCUAAGGCUGAUUCAGCCUCUAUCAUGGCCGAAUGAAACUGGUCAGAACAGGGCAUCUUAAGGAUUUAAAGCUGGAAUUCAAAGCAUUCAAGGUCUAACCUAUUAUUCAUGUAUAGAACCACUACUCCAACUCCUUAUCUAAAAUUAUUCACAUCAUAAAACAAGAAGAAAUACAACUGAACAAUUCAAAAUCCUAACUCACAAAUCCACCAUAAUCAUCAAAACUACUUAUAUAGCUAUCAUUAACCAAGAAUAUGAGUUGCUACACAACUUAAGCAAGAUUAAGGGAAAGAAAUAUGAUGGAUAGCCAAUAUACCUCACUAAGAUGCUUGUAAGAGAUAUCCACCACCUCUUCUUGUAAACUUUUAGCACACCUAACUUCUCAAGUGCUCAAAGAAAGGAUUAAUCGGUUUAGAUUCUUGAUUUUCACUCAACUAAGCUAAGCUACAAGAUGCAAAUGAGGUUUUCUCCCCUUGUUUUUUCUCCCUCAAGGUUUCGGCCACAAUGCUGAAAAAUGAAGAAAAAUAAAGGCCAAGAAAGGUUAAGAAGCUUGGUCUUAGUUUGGGUAAAAAAUGGUUAGAUGUUCUCCAAGUGUCACCACAAGAUUUACUCACAAAAUUUUUUCUUUUCCUUGGUUUGAUUAGUCAAAAUUUUCGGCCAGCAAGAGCUGAUUAGGGGCUGAUAUUUUGGCUCUAAUAACAAUGAGAUUAAAUUAAUGAAGUGGUGGUCCAGUGGUGUGUUCAAUCGGUAAUGAACGAUACCCGUCGGUUCAAGCCGAUUUUUCCUAAAUCGUGUAUACUAGGGUUUUAAUUUAUGAUUCACUGACUUAUUAUUAUCACUUCCAAUCACACACUUACUAUCAUCUAAAACUCAUUCUCACUAAAUUUGAUACACACUCCGUACCGAAUAAUUACACUACGAAAAGGCGUAAAACCCUAAUUUACGAUAACUUGAAAACGAAAGGAAAAACCCUUGAUUCUAUGUUUAUUUGCACUUAUUGUGGGAUAAAUGAGUAGUAAGGCUAUUCUAAAGUAAUAAAUUCCAAAUAAAAGGGGAUUUUAAGAAAAAUAUAGGGGAUUUUACAAGUCCUCACAUUUCUCCCAUUUUCUCCUAAAUCAACAAGUGUCUUGCCACCUAGUCUAGCAUGUGUUGUGGUGUCAACAAAAAAUGAGGAUACUUGUCUAACCCUUACCUAUUCCACUUAGCUACUUUACAUGGCCUCCACCUAUUUUCUUUUUUUUUUUGUUUUUCAAAACAAGUUUAGGGUAACCAAAAAAUGUUAAAUGCAUCACUAAUUUUCAUUUAAUUUUGAAGCACUUGAAUUUAAAAAGAUUAAAACAAAUUUUUGUGAGAAUUUUCUUUUUUUUUCAGAAAUUUAAUGCAAAAUAUUUUAAAAAGAAAAAUGAUGAACCUAAUUUACUAAAAUAAGCAAAAAUAAAUACUAACUAUCAUUUUGCAAACUUAGUCAAUUAAAAUAAAAUAAAAUAAAAACAAGAAUAAAUAAUAAAAAAUAAAGCUAAAAUUGAAUUAAAUAAAAAUUAAAAUUUUAGUGUCUAUAGUACACAUAGGGAUAAAAGAGAUAAUAUAAAGGAAAUAUCAUGUCAAAUAAGGAAAAGAAUCCUAAAAGUGUGUAUGAAAUGCAAUAAAUAUCAAGCAAAGUAUGAAUUCUAGCGCGAAAACGGUCUAACGGGUUUAGCAUUGGAUUAGCCUAUUUCUAUAAAUCUUCACUAGCAUUGGAUUAGUGAGAAAUCGGAGAGAAAGGCCACAACUAGCGUUGAACUAGUGUCAUGACAUCAUGCAUUUAUUAUAAAUAAAUAAAUUAUAUAUAACAUAAUUAAAACAAAUAAACACAUAAUGUACAUAGAACACAUAACACAUAAAUAUAAUUUCUAGAUGCAAAACCCUAAUGAAAGCGAAUAAACACGUAAGCACGCAAGCAUGCAAGCACACAAGCAAAUAAACGCAAAUAAAAGGCUAACUAUUAUAUUCGGGACCCUAACUACAAUCUAAGAGGGAAUUUGAAAAUAAUAACAUAACUAUUACAUUUGUUUAAUUAAUUACAUUUUUGGCAAAAUUAAAACAUAUCUAUUACAUAGCCUAACUAAAAACACGUCUUGAGCAUCUAUUUAUUACAACUUGGCACCUAAAUGCCUCUCAAAUAAUCAUCAAAAUUAAAUAGAAUAAAUGAAACUUAAAAUAAAUAAAAUGGGUAAUUAAAGAAAAAAAGCACUCAAAACAUGCAAUUACACAUAAAAGCACAUAGAAGCAUAUAAAAGAAUUUAAAAUAAUAAAAGAAGUUACCUCCCUUGAAGUUAUGGUUAAAUGGGCUGAAAUUUGCCCUAUUUAUGCUCCAAAAUCAACAAAAUAAUCAAGACACCAAUUUAAUUAUAAAGAAAUAGAAAUAAUCAUGAAAUCUAUCAAAUCAAGCACUUAAAUAAAGUAUAAUUAACAAUUAAAGAAGAUAAACAACUUGUAUUUAAGAAAUCAACACUAUUAGGGACCUAAUUGCAAAAAUUAAAAAGGUUUUUGGGGUUCAAUUAUAAUUAUUACAAAGAUUAGGGUCAAAAUUAAAGAAAAAUAAAGUUUAGGGAUCAAAUUGUAAUUAAAUUAGGGAUCUGAUUGAAAGAAAUCCAAAGUUUUUAGGGCCACAAUAAAAUUACACAAAAUCCAAGAACCUGGCUGCAAAUUCGUCACCAGAUUGCUUGAUAAAAGGCCAUUGGGCCAUUUCUUUUAAUUUCUUUGGGCCAAAGCUUUCUAAGCCCAAUCGAAAGUCCAAGACAAAAUACACAGGCCAGCCCAUAGUUUUCUCCAAACAAACCCAACCAAAAAGAGUGGAAUUCAAACUCCCAAACCUAAACUAAAACCCAAAAAUAUAAAAUCAAAGCCUUUUAUCAAAACCCAAACAGAAAUAACCGUCAACCCAAACUAACAUAUUUUACUAAACCAAACAAAGUAAUAAAUCUACAAAAAAUACUAAGCCUUAAUUAUGCAUUAAAUACUAGAAUUAAUCUACCCAAAAAGUCACAUAAAACAUGUAAAAGAAGAUUAAAGUUUAAAAGGGGCAAAAUUGAUUGAAAUUUUCCAGAUUUGGGCCACAUUGAAAUUA